ensembl:lncRNA
GAGGAAUUCUGGAGCUCUGUCAGAGUGACCAUCAGGUUCUUGGUCACCUCCCUGACCAAGGCCCUUCUCCUCUGAUUGCUCAGUUUGGCCGGCCGGCUAGCUCUAGGAAGACUCUUCGUGAUUCCAAACUUUUUCCAUUUAAGAAUGAUGGAGGCCACUGUGUUCUUGGGACCUUCAAUGCUGCAGAAAUGUUUGGUACCCUUCCCCGAUCUAUGCCUCUACAUAAUCCUGUCUCGAAGCUCUACAGACUAUUCCUUUGACCUCAUGGCUUGGUUUUUGCUCUGACAUUCACUGUUGAACUGUGGGACCUUAUAUAGACAGGUGUGUGCCUUUCCAAAUCAUGUCCAAUCAAUUGAAUUUAACAAGGUGGACUCCAAUCAAGUUGAAGAAACAUCUGAAGGAUGAUCAAUGGAAACAGGAUAACACCUGAGCUCAAUUUCGAGUCUCAUAGCAAAAGGUUCUGAAUACUCAUGUAAAUAAGGUAUUUCUGUUUUUCAUUUUUUUAAAUAAAUUAGCUCAAAUUAAAAUAAAACCUGUUUUUCUUUCUGAUUAUGGCAUAUUGUGUUUAGAUUGAGGACAUGUUUUUAUCUGAUCCAUUUUAGAAUAAGGCUAACGUAACAAAAUGAAGAAAAGGAAGGGGUCUGAAUACUUCAUGAAUGCACUGAAGAGCAUCUAUACAUGCAUCUACUGUAUUUAGAGCAUGUGGGCAAAGAAAUACAAUAAUACAUAACAAACCAAAGUAUCUCUUUGUACUUGAAGCACUAUGCCUUUUUAUUGCCUCUCCUAUGUACCAACAACAAAAAACUGUGGAUACACUGUACAUACAUUUAAAAAAAGUCUUCCACUUAAGUAUUGUUAUACAGCUUGUAUACCUUAAAUGUAAAUGAAAGUAUAGUGGCUGGUGUGGGACUGCUUGGGGUGAGUGGGUCCUCUGAGAGGACUGAAAUGGGAUGAGUGGAGACCCCACACACACCUCAGAGAAGUGUCUAAUGCCCUCCCAUCACCCCAUCCCAACCCCCUGGAUAUUAGCCCCCUCUCACUCAGAGAAGUAUCUAAUGCCCUCCCAGUCACCCCAUCCCAACCCCUGGAUAAUAGCCCCUCUCACCUCAGAGAAGUGUCUAAUUGCACUCCCAGUCACCCCAUCCCAAUCCCCUGGAUAUAGCCCCUCUCACCUCAGAGAAGUAUCUAAUGCCCUCCCAGUCACCCCAUCCCACCCCUGGAUAUAGCCCCUCUCACCUCAGAGAAGUCUAAUGCCCUCCAGUCACCCAUCCCAAUCCCUGGAUAUAGCCCCCUCCCAUUCUCACCAAUAACCACCAUUACUCUUGUUGUAAUGACAAACAAGGAAUAAUAAUGAUUUGACAUCCUUUCCUAAUCUGUCCUGAACUCUUAUUUAUUUUGUAACGUUUUACAAGUCAUAAAGAAAAAAUGCAAUGCAAUCGUAGUAUAAUUAAGUUGUUCCUUCUCUCUCUCACAAUACCAUUCCUCUCCACCCCCCCUCCGUUCUCCCCCCCUUAACCCACCAAAGCCAUGCUUAAACCAUCUGCCAUC